rnacentral:lncRNA from 1 species
CCCUAGCCCACAAUAUUACUAUCUAAAACUGGUGCAUUAGACACACAAUAUUUAUUUAUAUUUACAUUAGGAUCAUUAAAAUAUAAUGCUGAUUUGAUUUCUAAUACAGUUUACUCUGGAGCAGUGGUUUCCACAAAAAUGUACUAUCAGUAUACUCUUUGGAACACCCAAUAACAUCCCAUUUCAACUUUUAAAAAGCUAUCAGUGUCUGAUGUAAGACUUGCUUUGUUUCACCUCUCAAUAACACUUGUUAUAUUGCUCUAACAAGUGAAGCAACACAAAGAAAGUCACUG